CAAGCCCAUUCCCUUAUUCUUGAUGUAGCACGGUAUGAUUAGGAAGUUGAAAGGGUAAUUGUUUUCUUAAAUUUUUCUAUCGGAAGCAGCAGCCUCAUAAAGGAGCAAGAGUUUUUUUCAGGCAAAAUAAGAGCUGGUGCAGUAGCGAUUUUGCAUAGAUAGAUUGAAUCCAUUGGAGGCUAUUUGGUUAAUGUUCUAGAAGUUGUGCAGUCGAGGAAAUUUGUCAUUAAUGAGAUACUAUUGCGAAGUUGAGACUAGUGGUUAACGGUUUGUUCAUAAAGAUUCUAUUGCUAAGAUUAAAUCCAUUGGAGGCUAUUUGGUUAAUGUUCUACGAGUUGUGAGGUCGAGGAAAUUUUCCAUCAAUGAGAUACUGUUGCAAAGGUGAGACUAGUGGUUAACGGUUUGUUCGUGAAGAUUCUAUUGCUAAAGUGAGCCUUUACCUUGUUCGUGAAGGCUGUCAUUUCAGCUCUAUCUAUUUUUAGUUUUAUCUCUUUAAUGGAUUUGCAUGACCGAGAUUGAACUCAUGCAACUCUUUUUUAGAUGCUCCAUGGUCUUAGUGUGAGAUUUGGGCUAAACAAUUAGUUCUCGAGUGAUUGAUGAGUUAUUAGUUUUAUUAUAAGUUUUUGUUGGAUUGCUAUUCACUAUUUAUUGAUGUAUUAGAGUUGCCCAUAUCUUAGCUUAGUACUUAUUUACUAGUAAAAUGUAUGGAAGGUUGGUUCUCCCGACAGGUGUUAUGCACUGAUGCCAGUCACGCCUAGGGGUUAUUUUUGGGACGUGACAAAAGUAUUUUAAAUUAUCAAACUAGUACUAUUCAUUGAUUAUUUUUUUUUUACUUUUACCGUGUUAAAAUUCAUAGUUUGAUAGUAUGUUUUAGGAAAUUAUGAUAUUUCAAUUGUCUGAAAGUUACAAAAUAUAAAUUAAUACAUAAACAUGCCCUUGAACUUGACCUC